rnacentral:rRNA from 1 species
UACGGGGGGGGCAAGCGUUGUUCGGAAUUACUGGGCGUAAAGGGCGCGUAGGCGGCCUGCUAAGUCGGACGUGAAAUCCCUCGGCUCAACCGAGGAACUGCGUCCGAUACUGGCGAGCUUGAAUCCGGGAGAGGGAUGUGGAAUUCCAGGUGUAGCGGUGAAAUGCGUAGAUAUCUGGAGGAACACCGGUGGCGAAGGCGGCAUCCUGGACCGGUAUUGACGCUGAGGCGCGAAAGCCAGGGGAGCAAAC